CUAGACCAAACUCUGCAUACAGGAGACCUCAGAAUUCCUAUUUGAAGCCAUCCUGAGCCUGCUUCUGGGGCCUGCAUGGACUUUCCCUCAGAGUCCCUCCUUCAGAAGAUGGACUGAACUGCCAGUGACAUACCCCUAAGCCGUUGGGGUGGUCAAGCAGGUUCACAGGUCUUCAGAUGGAGAGGAACUGCUGUACUCAAGGAACUACACCCAAGGAGCCUCAUGUGGCUACCGUGAAGGCUGGGAUCUCGGGGAGGUUUUGGGAGGGAGUGAGUAUGUUUUCCAUGUGGGAGGAAUGAAAGUAAAUGUGACCAUGGCAUAGGCUGUGAGGAUUUAAAGAAUAUCCACAAAUUGACACUCCUUUCAAAAGAUAGGCUGUGGGGGCCUGGUGCAGUGGCUCACUCCUGUAAUCCCAGCACUUUGGGAGGCUGAGGUGGUUGGAUCACGAGGUCAGGAGUUCAAGACGAGCCUGGCCAAGAUGGUGAAACCCUGUCUCUACUAAAAAUACAAAAAAUUAGUCGGGCGUGGUGGCCGACGCCUGUAAUCCCAGCUACUCAAGAGGCUGAGGCGGAGAAUUGCUUGAACCCAGGAGGCAGAGGUUGCAGUGAGAUCGUGCCACUGCACUCCAGGCUGGGCAACAGGGCGAGACUCCAACUCAAAAAAAAAAAAAAAAAAGGCUGUGGGGAUUUAAAGAAUAUCCACAAAUUUUUUGAUACUCCUUUCAAAAGCUAGAGCCUAACUUCCCCCUCUUGAGUGUGAUCUGGUCUUACUAACUCACUUCUAACAAACAGAAUAAGGCAGAAAUGAUAGUGCGAUUUCUGAGGCUGGAUCAUAUAAGACAUUGUGGCUUCAGUGUCUCUCUCGGAUCACUUGCUCUGAGAGAAGCCAGCGGCCAUGUCACAAGGACACCCAGGCGGCCACAUGGAGAAGCUCACAUGGCAAGGAACUAAGGCCUCCUGCCAAAAGCCACAUGAGGGUGCCAUCCUGAAAGCAGGUCCUUGAGUGCCGUUAACCCUUCAGAUGAUUGCAGCCCCAGCUAGCAUCUCAACUGCAACCCCCUGAGGGGCCCCAAGCCAGAACCACCCAUAUAAGCCAGUCCUUAAUUUUUGACCCACAGAAACUUUCAGAUAAUAAAAUGCUUGUUUUAGGCCAUUAAAUUUGGGGGCAAUUUGUUACACAGUAAUCGCAGCUAAUGCUGCUAUUUCUUUUAUUUAUUAUUAUUAUUAAAGACAAGGUUUUGAUCUCUCGCCCAGGCUG
rnacentral:lncRNA from 1 species